GGGAGAGCAGGGGGUGCUGGACUUUUCCCGCACGGCCGCGGCCAGGCGGAUCCGGCGUGCUCCUCCCAGCCGUGGGCUUCCACUUACCAGUGUGAGUUCGGACGUGUCUCUUGAGGUCGAAGGUGUCAUUGAAGCCCUUCCCGCAGUACAGACCACAGCUCUGUGCCGUCUGCCCGGAGAUCGGCACUCCUCUGCAGAAACCUUGGCCCAGGUCCCAGGUGGAGACAAACAGGAACCUCUACCCUCCUCUGCCUGUUAGUACUGGAUGGUGUGAGCGAGGUCCCCCAGCUGCACCACAGCAGGGCAGGAGACAGCAGAAGUUAAAACUGUGCCUCGGCCCUCGCGCCAGGGUGCCCGCCCAGAACAGUGGGAGCAGUGCUUCCUGUUGCAGCCCCCACCCAGCCAGGCACAGGCCCAGUGCCUCUGUGGGACUCCAUCCAGGACUUGUUGAAAUGGCCGAUGAUACAAAGGAGCCCCGACUUCACCCAUGGCCAGCUUCCCUCGCCAUCCUCCCUGCAGCCAAAGGACUCGCCCUCACCUGUUCUUUCUGAGACAAAUCAUCUGCCAGGUUUCCGCCUCGGGACACCCAAGCUCAGCACAGACAGCCUAGCAGCCUGGGUGACAGGAUCCCAGGGGACAGGAUUCUCUCCUUGCCAUGGGGAUGAGGACAAAUUCUCCCUUCAUCCUUGAGAUUGGACUCCCGCCACACAUCCUGGAGGAGCCUACAGAGAAGCCGGCAGGUCUCCCUCACCUGGAUGGUGCCAGCGGGUGGCCUGGACCACCCAGAGGCCCUCUCCUGCACCUGACAGGAAGCCCCUGGGGCAUACGUCUCCCCUGCCACUUCCACUGUGGCCACUGGAAGUGUGGCAGAGAAAAUAGCUAGGACAAAAAGAAGUCAAUGAUUUCAACCAACGGAAUUUCUUUGUCCUUUGUAAAAAUCAACACAUGAUCUGUUACUGAUUGGGAUGUGAAAUAAAACUAAAAAUAACAGCACACUGAGCCUGGCUCAGGGCUCAGCUCACCUUUACCACGGUCCAAGUUCAGUUUAUCAGAUCCCAAGGAGCAGCUAAGCAGCAAGUCAAACACAGGGCAAGCGGGGCGCAGCGGGCGCCUGUCCCACCGUCUCGGCUCACUGCGCGGGACUAGCAGCCGGAGCCCAACGAAAAUUUGGGGGCCCACGCCCCCCACCGGCCCGACCCUCACUCCGACCCGGCCACCAGUGUUGUGGGGGAGGAGGAAGGACCUGUGCGAGCGGCUGAAGCUCUGAGCUUUUAACACAAAUCUCGGCCGAAACUCCAGCCCGCUCCCCGCCCCCCAAAGUGGCAUCGCUCCAGUGCCUUCUCCCGCCUCAUGCGAGUCCCGGUUUUCUGGAUUUACGACGUCGGAGCCGAGGGUCGCCUGAGCGGUGACACACCCCGCUGCCUCCUCUGUGCCGCGGUUCAGGGGGUGGGGGUAGGCGGUUCCGCGCCCCCUGGCCCUGGGAGCGGCUCCCCUUCCACCAUGCAGCCCCCGCCCCGACCAGCGCUCUUCCGCCGGCCCCGCCCCCGCCCCCCGAGUCCCGG
rnacentral:lncRNA from 1 species